UGCAAUCUGGAGCCUGUUCUUGUGCAGUUGAUUCAUAGUGUGAACCGGUUGGCAAUGGAGACAAGAAAAGUAAUGAAAGGAAAUCAUUCCAGAAAGACAGCUGCAUUUGUCCGGGCCUGUGUUGCCUACUGCUUCAUCACCAUCCCCUCCCUGGCGGGCAUCUUCACACGUCUCAAUCUCUACCUGCAUUCUGGUCAGGUGGCCUUGGCCAACCAGUGCCUCUCCCAAGAGAUGGAGUUUCGUUUUGUUGCCUGGGCCUGUCUUGAACUCCUGGGCUCAAAUGUUCCUGCUUCCCACCUGGGCUCAAAUGAUCCUCCCAAAGUGCUGGGGUUACAGGCCUGAACCACUGUGCUCAACCAAGAGAGAUUCCUUUAAGGAGGAAAGAAAAAAAAAGAUGAAUAAAUGAUGAGUUUUAAAUUUGUUUCUCCGCUAGGAAGCACAUUGGACACAUAUGCAUUUAUAGAGUCAGACAGAUCAUAGAGCACAGAUAGCUUCCUGUAAGAACCUUCUUAAAUCUGUCUAGGACAGACCGGGUCAUGCAGCUCAGACAUCCUGAGCUCAGCACA
rnacentral:lncRNA from 10 species